rnacentral:tRNA from 1 species
ACCUUGGUGGCUCAGUCGGUUAAGCGUCUGACUUCAACUCAGGUCAUAAUCUCAUAGUUUGUGGGUUCAAGCCCCACAUCAGGGCU